GGAGGAAAAGAAACCAACAGGGAUUGCCUUAGUAGCGGCGAGUGAAGCGGCAAAAGCUCAAAUUUGAAAUCUGGCACUUUCAGUGUCCGAGUUGUAAUUUGAAGAAGGUAUCUUUGGGUCUGGCUCUUGUCUAUGUUUCUUGGAACAGAACGUCACAGAGGGUGAGAAUCCCGUGCGAUGAGAUGUCCCAGACCUAUGUAAAGUUCCUUCGAAGAGUCGAGUUGUUUGGGAAUGCAGCUCUAAGUGGGUGGUAAAUUCCAUCUAAAGCUAAAUAUUGGCGAGAGACCGAUAGCGAACAAGUACAGUGAUGGAAAGAUGAAAAGAACUUUGAAAAGAGAGUGAAAAAGUACGUGAAAUUGUUGAAAGGGAAGGGCUUGAGAUCAGACUUGGUAUUUUGUAUGUUACUCUCUCGGGGGUGGCCUCUACAGUUUACCGGGCCAGCAUCAGUUUGGGCGGUAGGACAAUUGCAAAGAAAUGUGGCACUGCCUCGGUAGUGUGUUAUAGUCUUUGUCGAUACUGCCAGCCUAGACUGAGGACUGCGGCUUCGGCCUAGGAUGUUGGCAUAAUGAUCUUAAGUCGCCCGUCUU
rnacentral:rRNA from 1 species